CAUCACUACGCUAGAUGCAUAUCAAUAAGCGGAGGAAAAGAAACUAACAAGGAUUCCCCUAGUAACGGCGAGUGAAGCGGGAAGAGCUCAAAUUUGAAAUCUUAAAGGGUUUCCCUUUACGAAUUGUAGUUUAAAGAAGUGUUUUCUGUUGGAGUUUCGGUAAAAGUUCUUUGGAAUAGGACAUCAUAGAGGGUGAGAAUCCCGUAUUUGACCGUUACUUUCCAGCUGUGUGAUACACUUUCAAAGAGUCGGAUUGUUUGGGAAUGCAGUCCAAGAUGGGUGGUAAAUUUCAUCUAAAGCUAAAUAUUGGCGAGAGACCGAUAGCGAACAAGUACCGUGAGGGAAAGAUGAAAAGAACUUUGAAAAGAGAGUUAAACAGUACGUGAAAUUGUCAAAAGGGAAGCGUUUGACACCAGUGUUGUUUAGUUGAAAAUCAAUUCAAUAGUUUUUGAUUCUAAGUAGUAUUGACUUCAUCAGCUUGCUGCUUUCUUCUCAGAAAUUAUUGAAUGCACUUUUCAGUUAACAAGUCAACAUCAAUUUCUUUUGUUGUAAAAGGGUAAGAGGAAGGUGGCUUGCGCUUCGGCUCAAGUGUUUAUAGCCUUUUAUCUCUGCGAUCGGAGAGAUUGAGGUCUGCAGCGUAGAUCCUUCGGGGUUAGAUACAUUGGUGCUAAGUUAUAGCUUGUCAUAGACAACUUGUUGACUAUGUUUAGUCAUUGUAGCUUACUCGCUGAUGCUAUUUUACCUACGCUUAGGAUGUUGAUAGUCACAGCGUGUAC
rnacentral:rRNA from 1 species